AUGAACGCUAGCGACAGGCCUAACACAUGCAAGUCGAGGGGCAGCACAAGGAGCAAUCUGAGGUGGCGACCGGCGCACGGGUGAGUAACACGUAUGCAACCUGCCUGUAAGCGGGGAAUAACCCGUUGAAAGACGGACUAAUACCGCAUAAUACUAAAUUACUGCAUGGUAAUUUAUUUAAACAUUUUAUGGCUUACAGAUGGGCAUGCGCAUGAUUAGCUAGUUGGAGAGGUAACGGCUCCCCAAGGCAACGAUCAUUAGGGGUUCUGAGAGGAAGGUCCCCCACACUGGUACUGAGACACGGACCAGACUCCUACGGGAGGCAGCAGUGAGGAAUAUUGGUCAAUGGACGAGAGUCUGAACCAGCCAAGUCGCGUGCAGGAAGAAUGUCCUUAAUGGAUUGUAAACUGCUUUUGCGAGGGGAAUAAAGUGCAUCACGUGUGAUGUUUUGUAUGUACUCUGCGAAUAAGGAUCGGCUAACUCCGUGCCAGCAGCCGC
rnacentral:rRNA from 1 species